GCAAUGUUUUAAUGCUUCAGUAGGUAAUCAGUUACAGGAAGUCAUUUUACUACUCCUGAUAAUAAGAAUCUUCUAAAAAUGGUGAAUGACUUGUGUGAAAAUGAGGAUUGAAUAUUCAAAUGCAAAAACAUGAAGAACUUUCUGCACUGGGUUGUUUUAAAUGGCCCUCAACCCUUAGAGAAUCUAAAUGUUUGUUUGAUUU
rnacentral:lncRNA from 1 species